rnacentral:rRNA from 1 species
UACGUAGGUGGCGAGCGUUAUCCGGAAUUAUUGGGCGUAAAGAGCGCGUCAGGUGGUUGAUUAAGUCUGAUGUGAAAGCCCACGGCUUAACCGUGGAGGGUCAUUGGAAACUGGUAGACUUGAGUGCAGAAGAGGGAAGUGGAAUUCCAUGUGUAGCGGUGAAAUGCGUAGAGAUAUGGAGGAACACCAGUGGCGAAGGCGGCUUCCUGGUCUGUAACUGACACUGAGGCGCGAAAAGCGUGGGGAGCAAACAGGAUUAGAUA